rnacentral:lncRNA from 1 species
CUUGAAUCCAGGAAGCAGAGGUUGCGGUGAGCCGAAAAUGCACCACUGCACUCCAGCAUGGGCAACACAGUGAGACUGUUGUCUCAAAAAAAAUAAAUGAAUAGGCCGCGCUCCCGCCCAGGGAGGAUGCGCCGACGCCCCGAGCGCCCGGCCCUCCGCAGCAGCCCGGCAGACUGCCUCUGUCAUCAGGACCCUCCGUCCACGUCCCCUGUGCGGCCAGCGUCAGAGCCAUGGCGAUGGAGGAGAGGAAGCCCGAGACCGAGGCAACGAGAGCACAGCCGACCCCUUCGUCAUCCACCACUCAGAGCAAGCCUACGCCCGUGAAGCCAAACUAUGCUCUCUAAAGUUCACCCUUGCUGGCCACACCAAAGCAGUGUCCUCCGUGAAAUUCAGCCCGAAUGGAGAGUGGCUGAUGACAAAACCUUGAAGAUACGGGACGUGAGCUCGGGAAAGUGUCUGAAAACCCUGAAGGGACACAGUAAUUAUGUCUUUUGCUGUAACUUCAAUCCCCAGUCCAGCCUUACUGUCUCAGGAUCCUUUGAUGAAAGUGUGAGGAUAUGGGUUGUGAAAACAGGGAAGUGCCACAAGACUGCUAGCUCACUCCGAUCCAGUCUCGGCCAUUCAUUUUAAUCGUGAUGGAUUCUUGAUAGUUUCAAGUAGCUAUGAUGGUCUCUGUCACAUCUGGGACACAGCCUCAGGCCAGUGCCUGAAAACGCUCACUGAUGAUGACAACCCCUGGUGUCUUUCGUGAAGCUCUCCCCGAAGGGUGGAUACAUCGUGGCUGCCACGCUGGGCAACACUCAAGCUCUGGGACUACAGCAAGGGGAAGUGCCUGAAGACAUACACUGGCCACAAGAACGAGAAAUACUGCAUAUUUGCUAAUUUCUCUGUUACUGGCGGGAAGUGGAUUGUGUCUGGCUCGGAGGAUAACCUUCUUUACAUCUGGAAACUUCAGACGAAAGAGAUUGUACAGAAAUUAGAAGGCCACACAGAUGUUGUGACCUCAACAGCUUGUCACCCAACAGAAAACAUCAUCACCUCUGCCGCGCUAGAAAAUGACAAAACAAUUAAACUGUGGAAGAGUGACUGUUAAGUCCCUUUGCUCCCACAUGCGAUAGACCAUCAGGAAGUUGACCCGGAUUGGCAAGAAACAUGAUGUCUCGGAGGCGGUCCCCUGGGUCUGUGCCUGGGGGUCAGGACCGGGCCUGAUUUGAGCCUCCUUUUUGAAGAUGAUUUGGCCGAGUGUGGACCACCGGAAAGUUCUAAAAGUUGCUGGUGACAUUUCUUGCCAAUUCUCUAACACUGUCUAGGGAAGAGUUCCUAGUCUGUUGUGUUCAAACAGAGUCAACAAAAAUUUUUAAUUUUUUGUUACAAAAGGGUGAAGUUCAAUUUUAAAAAUAAAUAAUAAAUAUAAUAAAAAUCUCAUGGAACUUCAAUGUAAAAUAAUUAAAAUGGCAUUUUAUUAGCAGUGUAUGUUAAAGUUUCAGAUUUGUAACAUUUACUCUGUAAAUAAAAAUAGGGAAUAAGUAAAA